rfam:Triticum aestivum genome assembly, contig: Triticum_aestivum_CS42_TGACv1_scaffold_220880_3B
GAUGUACUCCCUCCGUCCCAAAAUUCUGUCUUAGAUUUGUCUAGAUACAGAUGUAUCUAAUACUGUGACUUGAUACAUCCGUUUCUGGAAAAAUGUAAGACAAGAAUUUUGGGACGACGGGAGUAGUAA